rnacentral:antisense_RNA from 1 species
AAAGCUCAGGGCCCUUGCUCACUAGAAGCAAGGAGCCCCCUGACCCCCUUCUUCCAAACAUACUCUUUAGUUUUGUCUUUAUUCCCGCCUUGGUCCUCCUUUGUUCAGUCCAGCAAGGUCCACAGCAAAGUGGUGCCCGAAAACAGGGACUUGAGGACAUGAAUGAAGAAGGUCUGCUGGAGCAGAGGAAGUGAAAUUGACCAGAUGAACAGGGACCCUGGGAUGAAUCUGCUGGCAGUGGAUAUAAGCCUUUAUACCCAAGAGAAAUUCAGCUGGACACCAGUAACGUAAGUGCUAUUUAUUGAAAAGAGCAAAGAAAGAGUGCUGACCCCUUAGGGACAGGAUGAAACAAAACAAGCUCUGCAAGUCUGCCUCCUGCUCAGCAUACAGGCUUGUUGCCCCACUGGGCCAUCUUGUUGUUGAUGGGCAUCUUGAAGAACUGAUCAGACUUGAAUAGCCAUGGAGCUCCUAAAAAGAAUGAGACCCUUCACUUGGCCUGCCUUCUCUCCCUUGCACUCCCUGAGCGAGUGCUUCGGCUACAGUCUGGGAGCCGAAGAUGCCUGUGUUUGAUGCCUCCAGCACCCUGUCUCUGCAUCUCUAAUCCAGCCAUGUGACCAUCUCUUGCCC